CCACCACCGUCAGCAGGAUCCUGCUCGAUAGGAGGGAGGGAGGGAGGAGGUGCGACCGCCCGGACCCUGACACGUGGGUCCUACCUGGAUGUGCAGAUCCUACCUGGACACCGGAGCCUGAGGCUACAGCCCCAAGGUGAGCCGUUGUCCCCCCACUCGUGUCCCGUCCCCCCCCCCCGAGCACUCCAUGACUGGAACUGCCGAAACGUCCACCAAUGUCCGCCAACACCGGGCCGUUUCCAGACACUGCGCAGGAUGUUGGUGCAAGGGCAGCAGGCGGCCGUCGAGCUUCACUCCCCCCUCCCCGGCUCCUUUCCCUCCGCACUAACUACCUUCAUGAUGCUCCUAUUUUCAGCCGGGUUGAGCUUGGUUUGGUUUGGGUUUUUAUUUUCCCCCCGCUGCUAAUCCGCACAGGAAGCUUUCGCCGAGCCUGCCGGGUUUAAAAAUAGGGAAAAAAAAGCUUCAAAACCGAAGUUAUUCCAGCAAUUUAAUUCUUUUUCCCUCUCUGCCCGGUGGCGGCUGGACCCCAAACUCCCACCCCAGUGUUCCCCGGUUGCCUCUGUAAUUCUCUGGCGGCUCGGUGGCCUUUCUGGAAUAAAGUUGUGGAAAAUUUGA